GUGCUCAUUUUGGCAGCACAUAUACAAACAUUGGAAUGAACCAGAGAAGAUUACCAUGGUCCCUGUGCAAGGAUGACAUGCAAUUUCGUGAAGCAUUCCAUAUUUGA